UUGGAUUUAAAUCCCAAAUAUAAAGCCAGCCUUUUUUUAGAA
rnacentral:tRNA from 1 species